AGAGUUUGAUCAUGGCUCAGGAUGAACGCUGGCGGCGUGCUUAACACAUGCAAGUCGAACGGAGUUUUAACGGAAGUUUCGGAUGGAAGUUUAAGAACUUAGUGGCGGACGGGUGAGUAACGCGUGGGUAACCUGCCUCAUACAGGGGGAUAACAGUUAGAAAUGACUGCUAACACCGCAUAAUAUAGUGAAACCGCAUGAUUUUGCUAUCAAAUAUUUAUAGGUAUGAGAUGGGCCCGCGUCUGAUUAGCUAGUUGGUGGGGUAAAAGCCUACCAAGGCGACGAUCAGUAGCCGGCUUGAGAGAGUGACCGGCCACAUUGGGACUGAGACACGGCCCAAACUCCUACGGGAGGCAGCAGUGGGGAAUAUUGGACAAUGGGGGAAACCCUGAUCCAGCGAACCGCCGCGUGAGUGAAGAAGUAUUUCGGUAUGUAAAGCUCUAUCAGCAGGGAAGAUAAUGACAGUACCUGACUAAGAAGCCCCGGCUAACUACGUGCCAGCCGCAGC
rnacentral:rRNA from 1 species